CCGGCGACCGGCGCACGGGUGAGUAACACGUGUGCAACCUGGCCGUCACAGGUGGAUAACCGGAAGAAAUUCCGACUAAUACAGCAUAACACUCCUGAGGGACAUCCUUCGGGAGUCAAAGGAGGCAACUCCGGUGACGGAUGGGCAUGCGGCGCAUUAGGUAGUUGGUAGGGUAACGGCCUACCAAGCCGACGAUGCGUAGGGGUUCUGAGAGGAAGGUCCCCCACAUUGGAACUGAGACACGGUCCAAACUCCUACGGGAGGCAGCAG
rnacentral:rRNA from 1 species